AUGAUUAUCUGUAGCUUUCUCCUACAAAUGUUUAAGCUUAGUGUUCGUUCAUAGUUUCAAAUUGUCAUGCUUCAUCUUCAAUUACCUUUCUUGCUUACUAUAUGUUUAGUUAAUGGAUUUAUGAAGAACUUCUUUUAUCUAAGAAGAAUAAAUGAGUUUAUGUUGGCUACUCUAUAAGCAAUAUGGAAAUCAUUACUACUUGAAAUUUGUUUAUGCUAAAGGAAAGUGGACUUUGUUGUUCGUAAUAGUGCAUACUCUUUGGGAGAAUUGUUACACAUAGUGCAAGUCAUGUACACUCUGUAGACGGCGAGAACUAUAUUGUUGAGGGAUGAAGCGUAUGAACUUCAUAUUCAAAAUAUCUGCCCAAUUUCUCCAUUUCUCAUAGGGAACCGAUGAAUGAAUUUCUUGCUAACUGUGGUUUACUCUCAUGCCGAGAAACCACAA